rnacentral:rRNA from 1 species
AUUGAACGCUGGCGGCAUGCCUUACACAUGCAAGUCGAACGGCAGCGCGGGGCAACCUGGCGGCGAGUGGCGAACGGGUGAGUAAUAUAUCGGAACGUACCCUGGAGUGGGGGAUAACGUAGCGAAAGUUACGCUAAUACCGCAUACGAUCUAAGGAUGAAAGUGGGGGAUCGCAAGACCUCAUGCUCCUGGAGCGGCCGAUAUCUGAUUAGCUAGUUGGUGGGGUAAAGGCCUACCAAGGCAUCGAUCAGUAGCUGGUCUGAGAGGACGACCGGCCACACUGGAACUGAGACACGGUCCAGACUCCUACGGGAGGCAGCAGUGGGGAAUUUUGGACAAUGGGCGAAAGCCUGAUCCAGCAAUGCCGCGUGAGUGAAGAAGGCCUUCGGGUUGUAAAGCUCUUUUGUCAGGGAAGAAACGGUGAGAGCUAAUAUCUCUUGCUAAUGACGGUACCUGAAGAAUAAGCACCGGCUAACUACGUGCCAGCAGCCGCGGUAAUACGUAGGGUGCAAGCGUUAAUCGGAAUUACUGGGCGUAAAGCGUGCGCAGGCGGUUUUGUAGUCUGUCGUGAAAUCCCCGGGCUCAACCCGGGAAUUGCGAUGGAGACUGCAAGGCUAGAAUCUGGCAGAGGGGGGUAGAAUUCCACGUGUAGCAGUGAAAUGCGUAGAGAUGUGGAGGAACACCGAUGGCGAAGGCAGCCCCCUGGGUCAAGAUUGACACUCAUGCACGAAAGCGUGGGGAGCAAACAGGAUUAGAUACCCUGGUAGUCCACGCCCUAAACGAUGUCUACUAGUUGUCGGGUUUUAAUUAACUUGGUAACGCAGCUAACGCGUGAAGUAGACCGCCUGGGGAGUACGGUCGCAAGAUUAAAACUCAAAGGAAUUGACGGGGACCCGCACAAGCGGUGGAUGAUGUGGAUUAAUUCGAUGCAACGCGAAAAACCUUACCUACCCUUGACAUGUACGGAAGCCACGAGAGAUCGAGGUGUGCUCGAAAGAGAGCCGUAACACAGGUGCUGCAUGGCUGUCGUCAGCUCGUGUCGUGAGAUGUUGGGUUAAGUCCCGCAACGAGCGCAACCCUUGUCAUUAGUUGCUACGAAAGGGCACUCUAAUGAGACUGCCGGUGACAAACCGGAGGAAGGUGGGGAUGACGUCAAGUCCUCAUGGCCCUUAUGGGUAGGGCUUCACACGUCAUACAAUGGUACAUACAGAGGGCCGCCAACCCGCGAGGGGGAGCUAAUCUCAGAAAGUGUAUCGUAGUCCGGAUUGUAGUCUGCAACUCGACUGCAUGAAGUUGGAAUCGCUAGUAAUCGCGGAUCAGCAUGUCGCGGUGAAUACGUUCCCGGGUCU